GCAUAAUCAUUAGUUUUUUAAUUGAAGGCUAGAAUGAAUGGUUGGACAAGAAAUAAUCUGUCUUAAUUAAAGAUAUUGAAUUUAACUUUUAAGUGAGAAGGCUUAAAUGAUCUAAAGGGACGAUAAGACCCUAUAAAACUUUAUAUUUAAGAGUAGAAAUUAGUUUUAUUUAAAGAUUACUAUUAUAUAAUAUUUGGUUGGGGCGACAGGGAUAAAAUAGAGAGUAACUGUCUUUUUUAUUUACAAUAAUAUUUGGGCUUAUGAUCCUAAAAUGGAUUAAAGAUUAAGUUACUUUAGGGAUAACAGCGUUAUUUUCUUUAAGAGUUCUUAUCGACAGGAAAGUUUGCGACCUCGAUGUUGAAUUAAAGGUUCUUUAUAGAGUAGAGACUAUAAUAGAAGGUCUGUUCGACCUUUAAAAUUUUACAUGAUUUGAGUUCAGACCGGUGUGAGCCAGGUUG
rnacentral:rRNA from 1 species